CAGGCGCGAAAACUUUACAAUGCGGGAAACCGCGAUAAGGGAACCCCGAGUGCCAGCACCAAGUGUUGGCUGUCCAGAUGAUUAAAACUCAUUUGUUAGCAAGGGCCGGGCAAGACCGGUGCCAGCCGCCGCGGUAACACCGGCGGCCCGAGUGGUAACCGUUUUUAUUGGGUCUAAAGGGUCCGUAGCCGGCCUGAUAAGUCUCUUGGGAAAUCUGGCAGCUUAACUGUCAGGCUUCUAAGAGACACUGUCAGGCUUGGGACCGGAAGAGGUAAGGGGUACUCCAGGGGUAGGAGUGAAAUCUUGUAAUCCUUGGGGGACCAUCUGUGGCGAAGGCGCCUUACCAGGACGGGUCCGACGGUGAGGGACGAAAGCUAGGGGAGCAAACCGGAUUAGAUACCCGGGUAGUCCUAGCCGUAAACGAUGCUCGCUAGGUGUCAGGCACGGUGCGUCCGUGUUUGGUGCCGCAGGGAAGCCGUGAAGCGAGCCACCUGGGAAGUACGGUCGCAAGGCUGAAACUUAAAGGAAUUGGCGGGGGAGCACUACAACGGGUGGAGCCUGCGGUUUAAUUGGAUUCAACGCCGGAAAACUCACCGGGUGCGACAGCAAAAUGUAGGUCAGGCUGAAGGUCUUACCUGAAUCGCUGAGAGGAGGUGCAUGGCCGUCGUCAGUUCGUACUGUGAAG
rnacentral:rRNA from 1 species